UACGGAGGGGGCAAGCGUUGUCCGGAAUCAUUGGGCGUAAAGCGCGUGUAGGCGGCUGAGUAAGUCUGCUCUGAAAGCCCGGGGCUCAACCCCGGGAGGCGGGUGGAUACUGCUCAGCUCGAGUCCGGAAGAGGAGUGUGGAAUUCCUGGUGUAGCGGUGAAAUGCGCAGAUAUCAGGAGGAACACCAAUGGCGAAGGCAGCACUCUGGGACGGUACUGACGCUGAGACGCGAAAGCGUGGGGAGCAAACAGG
rnacentral:rRNA from 1 species